CCGGUUUUUCAACGAUUUUUUCAAUGUUAAUCGCAAAAAAAAACCCGAAAUAAUCGUGAUUCAUCGCACGACAAAAAAGAGACGAAAAAUAAAAGCUGUGAAACCCUAAAACGUCUGCAAAAUUCGAUAAAUAGUCGUUUUUGUCCAGGUUACACUCAGCUCGUGGGCAAGGGUUAGGAGAACGAAGUUGAACUUGAAGGGAAGCAAAGAGAAGGCGUUUUUUAGUCGCGCGACAAAGGGUGAAUCUUCUCGACUUCAUUUUGUAAGUGUUUUUGAGCACAUAAAUUCCAAGAAACGCAACCGCCUAUCACAACAACCAAUGAAUGACUUGGUAUUCGUUCACCACAACCUCCGCUUGAAGAUAAAGAAAGCUCAAGGAACUAUUGAGGAAGACUCGCCAAUUGACCUUGAUGAGAUAGAUCCAGAGUGUGAGUUGAUUGUUGUUGAUGAUGAUGAUGAUCAUGAUACUCCACUUGAGUCUGAAGAUUUUGAUAUCAUGAGGGAAGCCAAUUGGGAUCCUGAAAGGUUCAAUCGAUCUAAGAGAGGCUUUCACCCGGGAGCUUCAUCAUCAGAGCCUGUUGCCCUAGAGCAUGUCAUUUUCUAUAGUUGAUUUUUUAGAAUUUAGUACUUAGUUUACAGGUUGGCUUUGUACAAAGUCACAAACUAUAUUGUAAUCGACAUUUUGACAUCUAUCACCAUCUAGAUAUCAUUAAUGUUGUGGUACGUUUUUGUGCAAUGUAAUU